GACGAACGCUGGCGGCGUGCCUAAUACAUGCAAGUCGAACGAACCGCGACUAAGUGCUUGCACUAAGUCAAGGUGAGUGGCGAACGGGUGAGUAACACGUGGGUAACCUACCUCAUAGUGGGGGAUAACAGUCGGAAACGACUGCUAAUACCGCAUAAGACAUAGGAUCACAUGAUCCAGUGAGGAAAGGUGGCGCAAGCUAUCGCUAAGAGAUGGACCCGCGGUGCAUUAGCUAGUUGGUAGGGUAAAGGCCUACCAAGGCGAUGAUGCAUAGCCGACCUGAGAGGGUGAUCGGCCACAUUGGGACUGAGACACGGCCCAAACUCCUACGGGAGGCAGCAGUAGGGAAUCUUCCGCAAUGGACGCAAGUCUGACGGAGCAACGCCGCGUGAGUGAAGAAGGUCUUCGGAUCGUAAAGCUCUGUUGUUAGAGAAGAACAGCGCAUAGAGUAACUGCUAUGCGUGUGACGGUAUCUAACCAGAAAGCCACGGCUAACUACGUG
rnacentral:rRNA from 1 species